rnacentral:rRNA from 1 species
UACGUAGGCAGCGAGCGUUGUUCGGAGUUACUGGGCGUAAAGAGUGCGUAGGCGGUUUUCUAAGUUUGGUGUGAAAUCUCCCGGCUUAACUGGGAGGGUGCGCCGAAAACUGGAAGGCUUGAGUAUGGGAGAGGUAAGCGGAAUUCCCGGUGUAGCGGUGAAAUGCGUAGAUAUCAGGAGGAACACCUGCGGUGUAGACGGCUUACUGGACCAUAACUGACGCUGAGGCACGAAAGCGUGGGUAGCAAACAGG